CCUACGGGAGGCUGCAGUGAGGAAUAUUGGUCAAUGGACGAGAGUCUGAACCAGCCAAGUAGCGUGAAGGAUGACUGCCCUAUGGGUUGUAAACUUCUUUUAUAAAGGAAUAAAACGAGGCACGUGUGCCUUUUUGCAUGUACUUUAUGAAUAAGGAUCGGCUAACUCCGUGCCAGCAGCCGCGGUAAUACGGAGGAUCCGAGCGUUAUCCGGAUUUAUUGGGUUUAAAGGGAGCGUAGAUGGGUUGUUAAGUCAGUUGUGAAAGUUUGCGGCUCAACCGUAAAAUUGCAAUUGAUACUGGCAGUCUUGAGUACAGUUGAGGUAGGCGGAAUUCGUGGUGUAGCGGUGAAAUGCUUAGAUAUCACGAAGAACCCCGAUUGCGAAGGCAGCUUACCAAACUGUGACUGACAUUGAUGCUCGAAAGUGUGGGUAUCAAACAGGAUUAGAUACCCGAGUAGUC
rnacentral:rRNA from 1 species